ACUCCUACGGGAGGCAGCAGUGGGGAAUAUUGCACAAUGGGGGAAACCCUGAUGCAGCCAUGCCGCGUGUGUGAAGAAGGCCUUCGGGUUGUAAAGCACUUUCAGUAGGGAGGAAGGUAGUGUAGUUAACACCUGCAUUAUUUGACGUUACCUACAGAAGAAGCACCGGCUAACUCCGUGCCAGCAGCCGCGGUAAUACGGAGGGUGCGAGCGUUAAUCGGAAUUACUGGGCGUAAAGCGCAUGCAGGCGGCCUGUUAAGUCACGAUGUGAAAGCCCGGGGCUUAACCUCGGAAUUGCAUUUGAAACUGGCAGGCUAGAGUCUUGUAGAGGGGGGUAGAAUUUCAGGUGUAGCGGUGAAAUGCGUAGAGAUCUGAAGGAAUACCAGUGGCGAAGGCGGCCCCCUGGACAAAGACUGACGCUCAGAUGCGAAAGCGUGGGGAGCAAACAGGAUUAGAUA
rnacentral:rRNA from 1 species